AACGAACGCUGGCGGCAGGCUUAACACAUGCAAGUCGAGCGCCCCGCAAGGGGAGCGGCAGACGGGUGAGUAACGCGUGGGAAUCUACCCAUCUCUACGGAAUAACGCAUGGAAACGUGUGCUAAUACCGUAUACGUCCUUCGGGAGAAAGAUUUAUCGGAGAUGGAUGAGCCCGCGUUGGAUUAGCUAGUUGGUGGGGUAAAGGCCUACCAAGGCGACGAUCCAUAGCUGGUCUGAGAGGAUGAUCAGCCACACUGGGACUGAGACACGGCCCAGACUCCUACGGGAGGCAGCAGUGGGGAAUAUUGGACAAUGGGCGCAAGCCUGAUCCAGCCAUGCCGCGUGAGUGAUGAAGGCCCUAGGGUUGUAAAGCUCUUUCACCGGUGAAGAUAAUGACGGUAACCGGAGAGGAAGCCCCGGCUAACUCCGUGCCAGCCGCCGCGGUAACAC
rnacentral:rRNA from 1 species